CCAAUAGCGUAUAUUAAAGUUGCUGCAGUUAAAAAGCUCGUAGUUGAAUUUCGGGACCAAUAUGUCGGUCGUGCCUCGGUACGUACUGGCAUCGUUGGUUUCUCCCUUCUGACGAACCAUGAUGUCAUUUAUUUGGUGUCGUGGGGAAUCAGGACUGUUACUUUGAAAAAAUUAGAGUGUUUAAAGCAGGCUCACGCUUGAAUACAUUAGCAUGGAAUAA
rnacentral:rRNA from 1 species